GCUUGUCUCAAAGAUUAAGCCAUGCAUGUCUUAGUGUAAAUAACUCUUAUGAAACUGCGAAUGGCUCAUUAAAUCAGUUAUCAAAUACGUGAUGGUCGCCUACUACAUGGAUAACCGUAGUAAUUCUAGAGCUAAUACAUGCGUAAAUACCCAACUGCUUGUCGGACGGGUAGCAUUUAUUAGAUUGAAACCAAUGCAGCUUCGGCUGGUAUUGUGUUGAGUCAUAAUAACUGUGCGGAUCGCUUUUUAAGCGAUAAAUCGAUUGAGUUUCUGCCCUAUCAGCUUUGGAUGGUAGGAUAUGGGCCUACCAUGGCGUUAACGGGUAACGGGGAAUUAGGGUUUGAUUCCGGAGAGGGAGCCUUAGAAACGGCUACCACAUCCAAGGAAGGCAGCAGG
rnacentral:rRNA from 1 species